AGGUCAAUAUGAAGAAUAUAUCUUGUUCUAAGUGUUCACGGCGGUCCUUGAUUUUUGUUCUUAAAACCAAUUAAGGCACGCGGUGAAUGCCAAGAACGAAGAUGUCUACUCGUCAAAAUCAGC
rnacentral:pre_miRNA from 14 species